GGAGAGAUGGCUCAGUGGUUAAGAUCAUUGACUGCUCUUCCAGAGGUCCUGAGUUCAAUUCUCAGCAACCACA
rnacentral:tRNA from 1 species